rnacentral:lncRNA from 1 species
GGGCGCGACUGGUCCUCUGUUACCGCAGGCCUCCCCUCUUGUUUCAGUGCUCCGUUCUAUGGCAAGGACACCUCAGUGGAGCCAGAUGACUUCACCCACAAAGCAGAACGGGGCCUCGGCUGGGAAGCUAACGCCAGGUGGAUGCCUAGCCACUCCACUCCUAGGAUCCUGCCCUCUCCCCGUCAUCAGUUUCCCAAGGAGACAGAUGCUGAAUCAUCGAGAUUUUGCCAAGACUCCGUGGUGGACACCCCCCUUCAGAAGUUGGAUCUGCAGUAAUGUUCUUUGGAAAGGUAACACCAGCUUUAAAUGAAGAGCUAACAAAUUUCAUCCUGAGCUUGGAAGAAGGAGGGUAAUUAUGUCCAUGUUAUCAC